rnacentral:tRNA from 2 species
GGGCAGAUGGCCGAGUGGUCUAAGGCGCUAGUUUUAGGUUCCCCUCUGCAAUCAGAGGAUCAGAAUCACUAGUCUUCGGGCGUGGGUUCAAAUCCCACUCUGCUCA